rnacentral:lncRNA from 1 species
CUAUUUGGCGGGGCCUCUGCCUGCCUGUUGGCUCGAGAGUGUAACUCUGAGCUUUUCAGAGAGAGCUAAGCUUCAGUCGAUUAUUGACGUCGAGAGUGUAACUCUGAGCUUUUCAGAGAGAGCUAAGCUUCAGUCGAUUAUUGACGUCGAGAGUGUAACUCUGAGCUUUUCAGAGAGAGCUAAGCUUCAGUCGAUUAUUGACGGUUGAACCAAGUGAGGCUGUGAAUUGUCGUUGUUUGCAUCGAUCAAUAAAACCCUGUACGAAUUGCAAAAGUGAAAACUGCAAAAGUGCAAACUAUGGUCUCCCCUUCCCCGCAAGGCCGCAACUCAAGACGGCAAUCCUUUUUUCUUUUCCUUUUUUCAGCCAAUUAUUAUUCUUAGAGCAACUAGUGGUCAAGUGGGCAGCCCACCAUAUUUUUGAAGGGUGCACGCAAGCAAAUCACCGUUAUUUGCAAUCAUAUGAAGUGUUGACGUGUUGUGCUUACCUUUUCAGUGGUCAUCCAUCCUCAAAUUGCUCCAGAUUAAGAACGCUUAAUUUUAAGAUUUCUUUUGGAUGAGCUCAUGAAAAAAAAGAUGCAGCUUGUUGAUAUAGGUGGUCUAUCAUUUCUAUUAAGCCGGGAUGUCACAUCCACCAUUAAAUCCAUCUACACAUAAUGUGAAUUCUAUGUCAUUUAUGAGCCGCUAAACAAAAUAUACAAGAAAAGUUUGGAGAAAUUUACCUCCAGGCAAGCUCCUGAACACCUUGAGGGCGCGCGGUCGGAGGGAUGGCGUGGCCGGACUACUGGAAGAAGUUUGCAAAGCUGCGAGGAAGCAUGGGAAGCCCAGCGACGUCUCAAUGGUGGUGAAUGGGGAUAAAUCACGGCGGUUCAGGCGAUAGACUGGCACCAAACAAUCACGGCGUGGGGAUGUGGGCGGUGAGGAAAGGGAGCCCACAUUCUGAAUGUCUGUGGCGCCAAUUUUUAGGUGGAUGGAGUGCGCACGUCUUGCCCAAUCUUCAACUAUGGAGGCUCGUGAGCUGGAUUUGGAGCACCCACCAAAAAUGAUAGAGGACAGGAUGAAACUUUGCUAGAUGGGCCUUUAUGGAAGAACUUGGCAUAAUGGCAGUUUUUAUGAAGACCAGGCCGAUACGAAGGCUUUGCUAGAGUUGCUCUUACCUCACAUCCCCUCGAUGGUGGGAGGUGGCGGCGAUAGAACAAGGUUCUGAACGGGGAUAUAGGUGGCGGUCAAAUCAGGAAUGGACGGAGACACGUGUGGGGCUAGUAUUGUUAGAGAUAUAUUUGGUUUACAUGUAUUUGUGUAUUUGGUAGUCUAGGAUAGUCCUGGCCAUGGGAAGCCCGGCCCGACCGGCCCGGCCUGAAAAAGCCCGACCCGGCCCGGCCCGACGCUGCCCCCGGGCCUAGUUUUUGAGCCCAAAGGCCGGGCCGGGCCGGGCCCGGGCCCGUCGUUUUUGCCAUUUUUGAAGGUCUGGCCGGGCCGGCCCGAAGCCCGACGGGCUUUUACGUGCUCGGGCCGGGCUCGGGCCCAGAAACACAGGCCCGAUGGCCGGGCCGGGCCGGGCCCGGGCCUGAGUUUUUUGUGUCGGGCUUGGCUAGGCCCGGCCCGAGGUUUGGCCAGGUAUAGUCUAGGAUUUGUAAUCCGUCUCCUAUCUUGUCUCUAGAAGAGGCUUCUUAUUCUCCAAGUCUGUACUUCUAUAUAUACUCGUCAGUGAGCCUCAAUACAACAUCCAUCAUAUUCCGUCAAUCUUCUCUCUAUUCCCUUCUAACUAGUAUGACUCUAGGCAUGACAUGAUAUAUCGGCACCCGUGGUGACAACGUGAGGUGGCGGGCGACGCCAAAAUGCCAAAAUGUGUAUUGAUAAUUAAAUUUUAUGAUGCUACAGUGGUUCCCAACAAUUAAGAGGGGAAGCUUUUUAACGGGUUACUCUAAAAAGAAUCCACAAUAACAACACAUUUUACACUAACCAACACCCUCGCUCGAAAGGGCGAUGUACGCUGGUCACCACAACCAAAUAUCGUCAGAUCGGAUGCCCAACGAGACAUAGGGGCCAACUCCCUCCAGGCGCACCCGAUUGAAGCAUCAUCAAGAUGGGGGAGAAGCAAGAUCAUCUUAUUCCGACCCCCCCCCCCUAUGGAGGCUCGCGAGCUGGAUUUGGAGCACCCACCAAAAAUGAUAGAGGACGGGAUGAAACUCUGCUAGAUGGGCCUUUAUGGAAGAACUUGGCAUAAUGGCAGUUUUUAUGAAGACCAGGCCGAUACGAAGGCUUUGCUAGAGUUGCUCUUACCUCACAUCCCCUCGAUGGUGGGAUGUGGCGGCGAUAGAACAAGGUUCUGAACGGGGAUAUAGGUGGCGGUCAAAUCAGGAAUGGACGGAGACACGUGUGGGGCUAGUAUUGUUAGAGAUAUAUUUGGUUUACAUGUAUUUGUGUAUUUGGUAGUCUAGGAUAGUCCUGGCCAUGGGAAGCCCGGCCCGGCCGGCCCGGCCCGAAAAAGCCCGACCAGGCCCGGCCCGACGCUGCCCCCGGGCCGGGCUCGGGCCUAGUUUUUGAGCCCAAAGGCCGGGCCGGGCCGGGCCUGGGCCCGUCGUUUUUGCCAUUUUCUGAAGGUCGGGCCGGGCCGGCCCGAAGCCCGACGGGCUUUUACAUGCUUGGGCCGGGCUCGGGCCCAGAAACACAGGCCCGAUGGCCGGGCCGGGCCGGGCACAGGCCUGAGUUUUUUGUGUCGGGCUUGGCUAGGCCCGGCCCGAGGUUUGGCCAGGUAUAGUCUAGGAUUUGUAAUCCGUCUCCUAUCUUGUCUCUAGAAGAGGCUUCUUAUCCUCCAAGUCUGUACUUCUAUAUAUACUCGUCCGUGAGCCUCAAUACAACAUCCAUCAUAUUCCGUCAAUCUUCUCUCUAUUCCCUUCUAGCUAGUAUGACUCUAGGCAUGACAGGAUAUAUCGGCGCUCGUGGUGACAACGUGAGGUGGCGGGCGACGCCAAAAUGCCAAAAUAUGUAUUGAUAAUUAAAUUUUAUGAUGCUACAGUGGUUCCCAACAAUUAAGAGGGGAAGCUUUUUAAUGGGUUACUCUAAAAAGAAUCCACAAUAACAACACAUUUUACACCAACCAACACCCUCGCUCGAAAGGGCGAUGUACGCUGGUCACCACAACCAAAUAUCGUCAGAUCGGAUGCCCAACAAGACAUAGGGGCCAACUCCCUCCAGGCGCACCCGACUGAAGCAUCAUCAAGAUGGGGGAGAAGCAAGNNNNNNNNNNNNNNNNNNNNNNNNNNNNNNNNNNNNNNNNNNNNNNNNNNNNNNNNNNNNNNNNNNNNNNNNNNNNNNNNNNNNNNNNNNNNNNNNNNNNNNNNNNNNNNNNNNNNNNNNNNNNNNNNNNNNNNNNNNNNNNNNNNNNNNNNNNNNNNNNNNNNNNNNNNNNNNNNNNNNNNNNNNNNNNNNNNNNNNNNNNNNNNNNNNNNNNNNNNNNNNNNNNNNNNNNNNNNNNNNNNNNNNNNNNNNNNNNNNNNNNNNNNNNNNNNNNNNNNNNNNNNNNNNNNNNNNNNNNNNNNNNNNNNNNNNNNNNNNNNNNNNNNNNNNNNNNNNNNNNNNNNNNNNNNNNNCAAGGAAGACCAGGCCUAACCUAAAUACUCGUUGGAGCGAAAUUGCCGUGGUCCCCGGCCUCUCUCGCCGCCGGAGUGGCAGGCGAAGGAUCUUGACAAGUUGAAGAUUAAGGAGGAAGAGAAGUGCGGUUCAAAUAGUAUGGCAAAGUAGAAUGUAUUCUUUUCAUCAAUAGGAAAGUAUUGGUCUGAUUUUGGUUAGGAGUUUCAGCUGCAGGGCAGAAUGUUUCCGUUGCAAGAUUUUGUUUUUUCAUAUAUUCCAAUAAGAAAAACAAAAUUCAGUGAUUCUUUUUCCUCUCUCCCUGAUGCGCACCUCAUCCAAAACUACCGCACUUCCGCCGCCGCACGGCGAUGCUCUCCUCGUCGCUCGCCUUCUCACCCCACCGCCUAGCCCCUUCCCCCGCCGCUGUUCGCCGGAGCACAUCUUCCACCAUCACGAUGCGGGACCGGGGCAAGAACCGGAAGCCGAUGCAGCGGGGGCGCUACCUCAGCACCGAGGCCAUCCAGGCCGUCCAGUCGCUCAAGCGCGCCACCCUCUCUGGAGCACCCGCCGGCGGCGCCGUCGUGACGGACCCCAAGCUGCGGCGGCUGCUGAAGGCCGACAUGGUCGCCGUCUUCCGCGAGCUCGCGGCGCAGGGCGAGGCCCACCUGGCACUCAAGGUACAACCGUAUUUGUGUGUGCACUACUGGGAGCAGAGUGUAUUGAGCUAGGAUUCAUAGUUCACAUUUGUUGAUUAGCCCUGCUGUGUACUCACAGUUGCUGAUUAUGAAGCCUUCCUGGACAUUAGGGUGGAUGGGCUCGUUUUUCUGGCCUGAUCCACCAAUUUGCACUAAUUUAUCACUACAGGAAAUGUUAGAAUAAAUCCGAGGCAUACCGUCGAUCAUCCGAGGACCAAGCAAUCACACGAGCACGACACCAAAAUUUGUUAACGAGGUUCACCGAUAUGGCUACAUCCCCGGGCCUGACUACGGGCGCUCCUCCCCGUGACACCGCUACAAUACCGCACCCGGUCACCCUGGAUCCGGCACAUGCCACCGGCUUCCCCUGCGUUUCGGUGCUAUUAUGUUGGCAUAGGUUACAUCGUGUGUCUACCCUCGCUAUAUAAGAGAGGCCUAGGAUACAAGUGUCCUACUAGGACACGACUCCACAUCCUAUGUAAACACGAUACAACUACAAGUCCAACUGUAACCUACCUUGUACACUAUAUAUAUUCGACACAACUCUAACAAACUCCACCUUGGCGAAUAUUCUCCACCACCUUGAAUUUGUCCAUGCGUCAAAUUUUCAUGUACAUUGGACUUGAGCUUAUCCCAUGAGUACCGCUGCUACUCCAAAGACUCCAUAUGACUCCACCUGCAACUUGUAGUCCCUUCUUUUCUUGACCACAGUCAACCCUCGAGCAAAAUUAAGUUCCUUGUUACUCUAGCUUGUGCUCCCAACUUCCAGAGUGUCCGUCCAACGCCAUCACACACCGAUCACUGACCUGCGUGAAAGUGAACAACUCACAUAUUGGGUGUCACACAUAAGAGUUACCUGAACUCAACAUCACCGCUCUUUCUUGACCGUCCUGUCUGAAACUUGAAGGAAUUUCACCAUUGCUUGUAGUCAUCCCAAGUCAAAUUCGCAGUUGUCUCACCACAUGUAUGACCACCAGAGCCCUAGCCGUCUCCAUGUCCCGUGCAUACCGCAUGCCUCGCUACUAUUACCGCGUCGAGCCUCCGUUGUCCCGGUCGAGUCUCAAGGGUCGCGAACCCACACCACUCAACCCCCAAGUACCACCGAUCAUCACCGACCGAUGACGAGUUUCACGCUUCCAUCAAACCACUGGGCUCCAGUCCGAAUUGCGCGCCUCUCGCUUUUUUUCCCGCUGAAUAGGCUUCGACUCUCUGUCGACUUAUGCCGUAGCCCCUCAAUCAGCACAGAGUGAAGUCUUCCAGACUCCAGCUCCACCUUCAACAUGACUCCAUGGUAGAUGAUCAGUCCACCCCUGCGCCUCAUCGACUUCAAGCUCCGUGUAUACACCACCUUGAAUCAAUCCCGCGCCAUAGUCUUGUUGAAGCCACACAAGCACUCAUGCCUGUGCCACGUGUUUCCACGCCCAGAAGUCGGUCACCAUCAGCAGCACGCUCCUAUGUCGUCGUCGCUGAUCCCGCACCAUCUUCUGUUCCAACCGACUUACGUCGAUCCAUCAGACUGACAAGUCUGACCCAGCCGAACUUAUCCGACUGCAAUCAUGCUCCACCCUGCGUCAUGUCUGCCCAGCACUUCUUCAUGCAUUGCUUGACGCCCUGUAUUUGCAUGAUCCGCACGACGCGCUCCAAGCUCCUCCGAACCUUAUACGCACGUCGCCAACCUGCCAAACUCCUGAUAAAACCCGUGCACAAUUAGCAACACUUCAAAAAGAAUAUUUUUUUUACUUUUCUCGUAGUCUUCAUGGAUGCAAAGCCUUUGCUUCCCAUAACCUCCAAAGCUUCCUUUCUUAAAUCCUGUUGCAAUCCCAAGCCACGUUCAUACCACAUGCAGGUUGCCUUUUCCUUUUAACAAAUCUGUUUGCUGAGCGCUACCCUGCCUUCCAAUCGAACGCAACACACCUCCAGCUUCCACGCUUGCCUGGCCCAUCCAGCACACAGCCUCCACACGGCCCAGCAUGCGACACGUUGCCGCUGUUCAGCCUUGGCCCAAGCGCCUCGCCGUCACGCUGCUGUGUGCUGCCAAAUCACGUGCGGACUCGAUCUGAUCGAUCGACCAGCCGCCGCUGCCGCACGAUAGGUCUCCCGCUGGCUGCUGCUGUGUAUCACCAAUUCGAUCUCGCCGAGUGCUUCGCUCCGCCGCCGCUUGCCAAUCCGACUGCUUUUUUUUUUCCGAUCACACGACGUCUCCAGAUCAAUUCCGUCCGCUGCGACACGCUGACGAUGAUCAUGACAUCGAAUCUUCCUCCUCUAGAUCAAACACAACCGCGACCUCAUCGUAACCUUGCUCAUGAUACCACUUGUUAGAAUAAAUCCGAGGCAUACCGUCGAUCAUCCGAGGACCAAGCAAUCACACGAGCACGACACCAAGAUUUGUUAACGAGGUUCACCGAUAUGGCUACAUCCCCGGGGCCUGACUACGGGCGCUCCUCCCCGUGACACCGCUACAAUACCGCACCCGGUCGCCCUGGAUCCGGCACAUGCCGCCGGCUUCCCCUGCGUUCCGGUGCUAUUAUGUUGGCAUAUGUUACAUCGUGUGUCUACCCUUGCUAUAUAAGAGAGGCCUAGGAUACAAGUGUCCUACUAGGACACGACUCCACAUCCUAUAUAAAUACGAUACAACUAUAAGUCCAACUGUAAUCUACCUUGUACACUAUAUAUAUUCGACACAACUCUAACAGGAAACCUAGGCUAUUAAUGAACUGUCUGUUCAGAUCAUCUGCCAUCGUUUGGAAACAGCUCUGGCCACUUAUGAGUCACAGCUCUCUAAAUUGUUCCUGCUUUGUUCUGAACCAAGGUUAUCUCAUUAUAUGGCUGUAGUAGGUGAGCCAUAGAUGACAUUUCCUAAGCAUACCAGCAGGAAUGAAUCUGUGAAGUGAUGAAUGUGGGUAUAGUUCCUUAUCAUUCUUGCAACAGGAACCUUAAAUAGCAAGUUCGUUUUAGUCUACAUUAAGAAUGAUGUACGCGCAAAAUUUACAUGAGUGAUAAAUUUUACUCGAGCAACCGCCAACCAGCAGGAGAUGGUGGUCAUCCUUUUAGACGGAACAUGCUGAAACACCAUAAAACACGCUAACUACUGAUAUUGCAGCCCACACAAGGCGCUCGUGCUGUGAGCCUGCUGGUGCUGGUCAUGAAUACUGAUCAUCCAUUGGCAGUAAACGGGGAUGCCGAGAUUUAGUCUGUUCUUGUUGCCCUUUAACCAUUAUGAGUUUCGUAAAUGCUUCCUUUUGGAGUAUUUGCAUGGCAAUUUACUUUGUAUUCAUCAGUACAGUUUCUACCAUAGUAUUAUUACCUGCAUUUGGAUUAAUAGAUGAUGCUGGCAAGCAGAUACUUCUUGACUGGAACUUAGAAAUGCACACUAAGAUGCCUCUUGUUUUGUCACCUAUGUCAGGUCUUUGAGGAGAUUCGAAAGGAGCACUGGUACAAGCCUAGGUUGUUCUGGUAUGUUGAUCUUAUUACAGUGCUUGCUAGCAAAGGAUUGAGGUCCGAGGUUGGCAAAGCCUGUUCGUAUCUGAAGAGGGAGCAAUUGGAACCCGACACGGAUGGUUUCAAUCUGCUUCUGAAGACACUCUUAGAUGCUGAGUUCACACAAUUAACAAUGGACUGCUUCCGUCUUAUGAAACUAUGGGACACGGAACCUGACAGGACAACAUAUAUAAAACUGGUCAAGGGUCUUGAAUCCCUAGGAGAGAUGGAUCUAUCUGCUAAGAUGAGGUUGGAAGCAGAAAGUGACUAUGGUGACCUUUGGGACUUAUUUGACGAAGAGGAGACGAUUGAGGCUUGAGCAGUUCGUUGUUAACAGGAUGUUGUAUGGCCAUGCUGGAAGGGAAUCAUUUCUAAAGUUUUUUAUGCAGUGUUAGAACAGAUGAAUGGAAGUCCAUGAUCUUGGAGGCAGUAGAAUUUUUGUGCAACAAGUAGUGAUUAGUUACUAGUACCAUUAUCUACCCGAGAUUUAUAAAUAGUAAAGAAGGGCUACCUCCAGGCUGCAGCUUCAUCAGUUCAUGUUUUUCUCUUGGGAGUGUAACUUGCUAGUGUUUCCUUUGAGAAUAUCUCUGUGUAUAAUCAAUCGCAUUGUUGCUUCUGGAUGUAUAGUCAAACUGACGUGCACAAUCAAAUUACUGAUAUCUUUUCAUGAUUUCAUUUCAGUAUGAAUGGCUAUGUGUACUUGCUUGCGAAAAUGUAGGCACCAUCUGCCUUACAGAAAGAUAAGAUGUCUUACAGCUAUCUGGCAGAUUAACAGAGAGCGAAACUUCCUCCUCCUCUGGCGCUCCCGCGGGCGGCAGGGGAGGAACCCUAGCCGCCGGCCGCCUCUCCACCUCUCUUCUCCUCCUCCCCCUCCUGCCGCCGCCAGAGGGCGCGCCCGGGCGAAGCCCGGCCGGCGCCGGCGGCGGCGGGGCGUCUUCAUCGCCUCAUUCGGGAGGGCUGGCGCGGGCCGGCUGACCUGGAUCUGGUCACGGCGUUCUCGCGGGGCGCCGCGGCGCGGCCCCUCAUCGGCGCAGGAGCGCGCGGGUGUGCGUGUGGCGUGAUGGGCUGCUCCUCGGUGGUGCUCGGCUGGUGUGGUGACGGCGGCGGCUCGAUCCAGGUCCGGUUGGGGCGGGCUGCGGGCGGUGCGGGCUGCGGGCGGAUUCCUCCGCCGUGGCUGGCGGAGGGGUCGGCGCAACAGUGGCGGCCUCGGCCUCGGCUUUCCCCUCCUCUUCUUCAUCCGGGGGGGAGGAGGUGGGAUGGGCCGGGGGUCGGGGAUGGCUGCCGGCGCCCCAGCCAAAGCUGACCUCGCGGCGGCAACGCUUUGGGGUCGGCCGACAGAUUGUGGUUCCGGUGGUGCGUGCCCGGCGGUUUGGCGACCCGUGCACGAGGGAUGGAGGUCUUCGAUCAAAUCCGGGUGAAAACCUGCUAUUGGCGAUUGCGAAGGCCGGCGAUGGCGACGCUGUCUGCGUCGUUCCCGUCCUGAAGGCAUCGUCGUGGAGAAGUUCAAGGCCACUCUCUGCUACCUCCGGGGGAAACCCUAGAUCAGUAGAUCGGAUGACGGCGGCUCUCUAGUGUCGUUUCCCCCCUGGGGCGUCAUUCUUGGAGGUGCACACGGGCUCGAGGGACUAGAGGACGGUGACUUUGGUGGAGCGGUGCUUCAUCUUGCACUUUGAUGGUGACGGAUCUCGGCGGCGUGGCGCUGUCGAGACUCGGCGUCUGAUGCGCGGAGAUGGACUCGUGCAGGAGGUGGUAGCUGUCUGGCGUCAUGGUGGCGUUGAUGGCAGAUAGGCCUGGCAAGGUCGGUGCAACAGUACAGCUCUGAAGAUGGAUUGGUGGCAGGCGGCUGCGGCGGCCUCAUACCCGGCAGGGGUCCUGGUUGAGAAGCACGCCGGACUGGUGGGUGCCCAUACCAGGCAGGCGUCCUGGGUGGGACCUCAAGUCUUUAGAUGUUUAGGUUUGGCUGCGUGGUCUGUUUGGUAUUAGGCCCAGGCUUUCAGCGCCCCUACAUCAACUGGAUAGGGAUAGCGACAGUUGUCGCUGGUUUUGGUGGCUUUAGACUUAUUGUUGUAUGACUCUGUACGGUCUUGUGUCAAUAAUUAAUAAUAUGGCCGUAUGCAUCGCCCAGAUGCAGAGGCCGGGGGUCGUCCUCCUUUUCUAAAAAAAACAGCUAUCUGGUAAACUUAACAGUUCAUCUGUUUUUGCCAAUUGCAGCAAUCAAUAUCAGUACAAUGUCAGUACGAGAUGAUCAAAAUGUCAUCAUAUGCAAAGAACAAGCGGCAACAUUCCUACCAACUCUCACCUGUACAAGUUUCUCUUCACUUUCAGAGAGUAAUGCAGUUGCCAACAAAAAUCCUUGCAAGGCAAAUCAAGAGCUUCGUGAACGUUUGCUGGCUGCAACGGAGAUCACUGAAGAAACAGCCGGGUGAUCAAACGAGACCUCUGCUACAACGAGCCCGGGGCGUGAGCGGCUAGUUGUUCAGAUCAAUGUCGAAAACAAUCCUGGGCGCAUCCGAGCGUGAACUAGAUCCGGCGCCCUCCCUCGCCUGGUUCUCCGCGUCGCUCGAGCGGGCAGGCGGCGGCGGCGGAGCGACCACCGGCUUCGUGAACACCUUGUAGACCACCAGGUCCAUGUUGGCACCGGUCGGGCCGGCUGUCGCGCCGCGGAAGGCGGCCGCGCCCUUGUGGAGCGCGUACUCCUUCAUCAGCCACCGCGUCUGCUCCCACGUCACCUUGCCGCCGCCGUCGUCCGCCCGCGCCGCGCGGAACGCGAACCUGCGGUGGCGGGCGUACACCUCCCCGCGGAACUCGUACCCCUUCGCGUCGCCGUACUGCAUCCACCACCCGCCGGGCGCCCGCCGCAUGCUGCUGGCGGGCUUCGCCGCGAAGAAGUAGCCCCACGCCUCCCCGUCCUGCUUCCUGUGGCUGGGCGGGAAGGGGAGCGCGUCCGGGCUCGCCGCGAAGAUGUCCACGCCCUCCGCGACGAAGCCCGGGGCGGCGCGGUCAGCGAUCUUGCCAGUGGUCGCCUUGGGGCCGAGGUACUCGACGAUGAUCUGGCGGCCGCUGGGUACCUUGUAGCUGUAGUUGUACUCCCCGCCGACGCGCGUCCACGACAUGGCAUUGUCGUUGAGGUUGCCAGCGUCCUCGUUUACGCCGGAGUGCGCAGGCGUCGCGGGGAUCACCGGCUUCGCGAUGACCUUAGGUGGUCGGUCCGAGCGCGGCGGAAGGGGGCUUCCUCCUGGCCGGAGCGUCUCGCCACGGCAGGCACACGGCAGUAGCGGUGGAGCGCCCCCUCGGGCCUUGACGAACGCCGCCCGGGUUGGUUGGGCUUGGCGCGACGGAACGCUGCCUCCUACCCGCCGGACCACCAAGCCGGAGCGGGCAGGCGGCGGCACGGGAACCGCCGGCUUGGUGAAGACCUUGCGGACCACGAAAUCCAUGUUGGCGUUGGGGUGCUCGGGCAGCUUGCUGCGGAAGACGGCCGCAUCCUUGUCGAGGCGGUACUCCUUCAUCAGCCACCGCGUCGGCGUCCACACCACCCGAGCCCGCUCCGCCCGCGUGACGUAGAACGCGUACCUGCUCCGGUAGCCGAGCGCCUCCCCCUUGAGGUCGUACCGCUUCUCGGCGCCGUGCCGCACCCAGCACCCGCCCGGCGCAGGCUGGGCGCUGUCGGCGGUCGGGGCCGCGGCGGCGAAGUAACCCCACACCUCCCCGUGCGGCCCCCUGUGGCUCGCCUGGAAGGGGAGCGCGCUGGGGCUCGCGGCGAAGACGUCCACGCCCGCCGUGACGACGCAGCCGCCGGGGAUGACGACGGCGUCGGGGAGCUCGCCGCGGAGCGCGUUGCGGCCGAGGUACAACGUGAUGAGCUGGCGGCCGCUGGGCCUGAACACCGUUCCUGGCCGCAGCGCCAGCACGGCGGGUUGCGGCGUCGCCAUGGAGAUGGAGAGUUGCAAACUUGCGAAGCGAAGGAGCCCGAGGAGGUGCGCGGUCGGGUUGUUGGGCUUCGGAGAGAAGAGGAGUUCGAGUCAUGGGAGGUUUUGGGUUAGGGGCUGUAUAUAUAGUGGCACGAUCGUGGAUGGCAAGCAGUGGUGUUCUCCAAGCCAAGUCCAAUUGCAAAUCCAAGAUUGUCCUUCGAAGUGAAUAAUAAGCUUCUAAAAAUCCUGGGAGUAGCCGAUUCUGGCCUCCUGGGACUUUCUGUAGCAGCAGUGGUAGAUUCCUACAAAAUGUGCUGUUGUGGACAGCAUUUUCCUCCAACAAAAAAACAGUAGGAUGGUAAGUCACAGAUACAUGGAUGAUGGAUCCAAGUGUGGAGAUCAUAUUCAGCAAGUUAUCUGGACUGCAAAAUCGUUUGCGUGCCGCUCGUUUCGAACACACAGAAAAGAGGCCUCCACAGAAAACGUUCCUCCGUCAUGAUCUGCUGCUAUUAAUAGUAAUGUUCGGCAAAUGAAGUGCUACAAGAUCUACCAGUCAUUGCUAGGCUCUGGACUGAAUUGACUAGCACAAAUUUAGUCCUCUGGAUCAUGAAUAUUCCAGUCAGUACGUAGCAUUGAAAUUUACUAGUGCUUCAGUUCAGUCCAAUUUAUAGAAUGGAAAACGACUCUAAAUUUGUAUGUGCAUUGAACAAAAUAAGGGAGUACCAAUUGUCACAUCUAUACAAAUUUUCGCACUAUGAUCCUAUCCACAUAGGGUAUCGGUGGCCUCGUGAUCACUUUAUGAAUACUACACUACAAAGUCAAUGUUUUCUCAUCUUCCAUAUGAUAGGUGUGAUUAUGGAAAUUGAUAGAUUGUUUCUCGCCUGCAUAAAGCAUGAAUUGCUAGUAAUCGCCGGUCAGCCAUACGGCGGUGAAUCCGUUCUCGGGCCGUAGGUGAUUACAACUUUUCUGUGACCAACCCUAUGAAAUUAUAAUCUCUAAACAAGUAUAAGCAAAUAAAAUCAUAGGGUUACCUAAAGGUCGAAUGAUAUACCUCCUGAAGUAUACUGGCAGUUUUCUGAAAUUUUGUUCUGGCAGUACAUUAAUUAUGCAAGGUGAAUGUGCUACAUAAGGACAUAAUUUUAGAUAUAAGUCAGAAAGGAACUAAUUAUUUAUUGAUUUAAACCAUUACUCCUUGGCAAAUGCAAUUGCUACAAAAUCUGCUUGACUUGGCUAAGCUCUAGGAGACUGGAGAGCAAUGGCUAGCAAUAUUUUGUACUUGAAGGUCUUGACUCUUGAGUCUAACACAUCAAAGUGCUGCCAAAAAUAACUCGUGCAACCCUGAAGCAAUUAUUGUAAGCUUGAUAACAUUCCAGCCAGUAGCAUUUAUGGAGAAGUUUCCCUUAUCCUUACCCUCACAGUUCUGUCCAAUUCAUAUAUCUACAAAGAAACGGACACCGAAUUUCUGCAACAUGAUUUGGUGCUUACAAAUUUUCUAGUAUGAACAAUAAAUAUGCAGAAAAAACUGUAAGUUCUCUAAAAGGUAUAAAACCUCUGAACUGUUCUGAUAGAUGUUGCAAGGGGGAUGGAUCACAAUUUUUUGAACAAAGGGUGAGUUUUAUUGAUUCAAAUGAAGCAUCAACCAAAUACAAACACAAUGAGCACAAUCACAACCUCUACAUAGCUAGGAUACACACCCACACCAACACACACAAACAUAGCAAAGUCAUACAAGACCAAAGCUAUGUUAAGCGACAGAAGAAAACUCCAAAACGAUGAAAACAGUGAUCGACGAACUACAACAACCAAUCUGCCUCAACUAGAUCGAGCGCACAAUCAAGAACUGAAAACACAAGAGACACAACAACGCUGAAGAAAUCAACAUGCAGCUGUGGCGUAAUGCUACUCCUGCAGGAGGAGGAGCACCGCCCCUUGGUCGCCCUAGUUCCCCAGCGUUAACCGCCGCAUGAGCUCAUCGAGUCGCGGGUACACGAUGUAGCUCUCGGAGCCCUCGUCCUCGCUGGAGCUGCUGUCGACGGGCGGCGGCGGCGGCCGAGGGAUCAGCGGCUUCCUGUAGACCUUGUGGACCACGAAGACGACGUCCGCCGGCACGGGGCCCGGGUGCGCGCGGCGGAAGGCGGCCGCGUUCCUGUUGAGCCGGUACUCCUUCAUCCGCCAGCGCGUCGGCGAUAUUACCUCCCCGUCCCUCCACGAGUAGCGGUACGCGAACCUGCGCCGGAACGCCACUGCCUCCCGGCCGCCCUCGCCGCCGUAGUACGCCUUCUCCUGGCCGUACUGCACCCAGCACCCGGGCGUCGGGCACGUCUCGCCGGCGGGCUUUGCCGCGAAGAAGAAGCCCCAUACCUCGCCGUAAUCCCUCCUGUGGUUUUCCGAGAAGGAGAGCGCGCGUGGGCGCAAGGACAAGACGUCCACGCCCUCCUCGAUGACGCCGGGGAGGAAGAAGCCGCCGAGCCCCGCCCUGGGCAUGAGGUAGUGGCCGACGAGCUCACGGCCGGUGGGUUGGAACACGUAGCCAGCUUCUGCCAGAUUAGCCAUCGCCGACCGAUGCUGAAGUUGUAGCCUAGCUAGGAGGGGUAGGUUCUGUGGGCGACGGGAAAUGUUGGGUGGAUCAGAGAGUUCGAUUAUGCCAUGGGAGAACUCAGAUCCGGGGGGCCUGCUCCUCCUUUUGUAGUAGAUGGGAUGGCAUCAUGGCAGUUGGCAGUGGCAGGGAAGGUUCCAGAAGCAAGUACAGAUGGCACACCAGAUAGGGGAUGUCAAAUUCGGUCGCGUGUACUCAAUUCGAACAAAAUUUGAUGGCCCAUUUGAUCAAGAGUGUCCAAUCUGAAAACAGGUCAGACCGAGUGGCCUUUUUCGGUCUUGUCCCGCCGGUUUGUUUCACAACCGUGCUUGGCCCAAAACAAAUGGCACCGGAUUAGAGUCCACAAAAUUUUUCUAAUAUAAGAGAGCAGGGUGAUCUAGGCUUCGAAACACCUUAGCAUUUCUUGAGUCCCAAAAUUUCCGGAGAAUUGAGAGAGGCACGCCUCUGGCUAAAUGAAGUUAGUAAGGUUGCUUUUGACAUAGCACCCCUCCCCCUCCCGAAGCAAGUAGGCGGCAGAAGAGUAAGUUGUUGUCAAAUCCGCAUGGCUUUCGGACAGUUGAUGAAGAGGUGAUUUGUGUUUUCGGAAGGAACAAAGUACCUUAAAAGGGUGGCGGCUUAUGAGAGUUGACUGUCAAACAUAUGUGCGUUGAUUUAAUUUGUUGCCGAACAAUAACCAAGCAACAAAUAUUGACUAUAUCUAGAGCACGACAGCGCUAGAUGAGCUUGGCAUGAGGACAUUCCACGAGACCAUACAUGCUAAUUUUAAAGAGAUAAAAAACAGCGGAACGAUUCACCAUCGAUAUGUAUGCAUCUAUCUGACAAAGCAAUGAUGUCGGCGCUCUAAAUGUUACUUCUACUAGUGAAAGAGGGAGGGUGAUCUAGGCUUCGAAACGCCGCAACAUUCCCUAGGUCCUAAUUUAGAUAAUUGAGAGAGGCACCUCUAAUUAAAUGAAAUUUUUGAGCUUGCUUUUAGCGUAGCAACAACCCAUAAGCCCCGGAAGCAAGUAGGUGUGGGUUAUUGCCAAAUCCGCAUGGGUUUCGGACAGUUGAUGAAGAGGUUAUCUGUCUUUGGUAGGAACAGGGUACCUCGUAUGGGCGGCGGGUCGGGAGAGGUGCACGUCGAACAUAUUUGCCUUGGUUUAUAUUUCCUCAAACAAUAACCAAACAACAAAUAUUGACCAUAUUGAGCAUGGUAGUGCUAGAUAAGCUCGGUAUGAUCACACUUCAUAUUUUUUUAUUCCAUGUGAGAUCAUACAUGCUAAUUUUAAAGGGACAAACAUAUAGCGACAAAAUCAUUGACGUCGGCGCUCUAAAUGUAAUUUUUUAAGCUUCAAAAUGAUAUAUCUCUCAAACGAUUUUUUGUGCAUAUCCAUGGUCCCCUUUGUUUCGACGAGAUCAUUGAAACUAGACCCUAUGUUGUUGAACAUCGACGUUUAUAUAUUUCACAUGUGUCAUAAUUUGUUUUCCUAUGAAGUUGGCUUAGUAGCAAAGUUACUAGGCGGCAAACAUAGAACGAAAACUUUAUGGAUGUUUUAAAAAGCAUCUCUAUCUCUAUAUCUAACUUUUAUAUCUAUAUCUAUAUAUGUCUCUUCCUAUCUAAAAAAGGGAAAUGUUUUCCGUUCCGCUCCACACUUCUUCCAUCCUCCCUCGCACCACCGUAUUGUUUCGGUACCACGAGAAAGACCAGAGAAAAUUCAUCGUGUGAAAGCCCCACUCAUGCACCUCUGGGUAAAUGAAGUUUUUGAGGUUGCUUUUGGUGUGGCAAUAACCCAUAAGUCUCGGAAGCAAGUAGGCCUGAGUCGUUGCCGAAUCCGCAUGGCAAUCGGACAGUUAAUGAAGAUGUGAUUUGUGUCUUGGGAAGGAGCGGAGUACCUCCGACAGGCGGCAGCUUGAGGUGCUUGUCGAACAUAUUUUUCUUGGCUUAAUCUUUCCUCGAAUAGUAACCAAGCAAAAAAUAUUGCCAUAUUUGGAGCAUGACAAUGCUAGAUGAGCUCUACAUGAUCACACUGCACAUUUUUAUCCCUGUGCGACCAUACAUGCUAAUUAUAAAGGUAAAAAUAUAGUGGAACGUUACACACAGGCAUCAAUGACGCCAGCGCUCUUAAUGUUAUUUUGAAACUUCAAAAUGAUAUAUCUCUCGAACCAUUAUUCAGAUUUACAAUCUAUCUCCAUGGCCUGCUGUUUAGACAAGAUCAUCAAAACUAGACCCAUAUGUUGUUAAGCUUUGAUGUUUUUUCUUUCGUCCAAAAGUGUCACCAAAUUUUUCUAUGAAGUUGCCUUAGUACCAAAAUUACAAAGUGGAAACUUUGAUACUAAUACAACAACAAGUUCAUUAAACAUGGGUUGACACCUUUAUGGAUGGCUUUCCUUCUUCAAAAUAUACGGAUCUCCUAAAUCACUAAGCUCCAUGGGACAAAAUCUCCCAGGAGUGAUCGAGGCGGCCGAUUUCGCUAGUGGUCUUGAUUUUGACCGGGCAGGCGCGUUGAGUGGGCCCCUUUGGUCGGGCGUGUGGGGGUGUGGGCCUAAGCAUUGUGGCCAUUGGGAGGGGUUUGUUUUGGUACGUGUCGCACGGUUGCCUUCCUCUUCCACACUCUGCUUGCAUCAAGUACGAGAGAUGACACGGUCUACAGACCCUAGCGCCUCUGAAACCUCCCAUCCACGCAUCGCACACUGUCGCUCACUGUGCAUCACCUUCUUGUUCCUGUCGGGCGCCGCUAGCUCCCAGGCCAACACCUGCCUAUUUUUCGUCAGCGUUGGCUGUCCCCGUUGGGUGCUGGACUUGAUAAGCUCUAGCGGCGCAUAAUCUGGUCAGUACCCUCGGUGGGGUGGUGAACGUGGUUGUAUGUACCAUACCGGAGGUCGCACAUGGGUUUUACCCUGAUUCAGGCCUCUAGUGAGGAGUAAUACCCUAUGUCAUGCUUUGAGUUCUUAUUCAUGGUGAGUGACCUUGGACGAGGGAUUACAGUGGCGGAGAUGAGAUUGCUACCGAGAGUCUAGUCUAUGAGAGUACAUCACAAUGAGAGCCUUGUAGACCUCUCCUUAUAUGCACGGUGAGGGCUAUAGUUUUACAAGAGGGAGAUCCAAUCAUGGUUGCCGCCAUGCUGGCUUGGAGGGCAAGAUGAUCCUUGGAAUCAUACCCAUUCCUUCGGGCACCUUCCUAUUUUCUAGCUAUGUGGUCGGCCUCCUGGGCCCCUUGGCAGGUCUGCUGUCGUGCUCCCUAUGGAGAAGGCACCCUCGGUUUAUCACACCUUUAGUAGCCCCCGAGCUUGUGUGGGGUUGGAGCUCUUUGGUCUUUGAGAACCCAUGCAAACUCCUCGUCUUUGUGUUGGAUGUCAGGACCUCUUUCUGGGAGCUCGACCUUGAAGACGUCUGCGGGCCUGUUCACCGCGAAUGCUUUCCACUGCGGGCUCGACUGUGGCAUGGAGCUCGCUGAAGGCCGAGGCCCCGUGUUCUGAGCUAUGAUGUCAAGUCUCCGGUUGAUUGAAUCAUCACAACCAGGCCUGUGUUGUCUUGUCAAACAAGCUCAUAGAUGAUAAUGGCUGAAUUCGCACACCCACAUCUCCCGGAAUGGGAAACCGCAGAGGAUGUGGGGCGCUUGUCACACCGUGAGGCCCGACUGUUCAGUUUUAUUGCGGCAGCCAUAAAGCAGGGAAGAAAAGGUAAUUUCUCCUUCCCCUCCUUUCAUAUUCAUCCUCACGCAUUCGCCUCCUUGCAUCCUCUGCUAUUACCACAAAUCUAUAGCUCGCACAACCUUCAGCCUUAAUCCUCUGCAUCCAUCAAGAUAGCAAAAAUCCAAGAAUGGCCAGGGACGGACUCAUGCAAUACGCCGCUUAGGCGACCGUGGCCGCGAAGCGAAAAUGGAAGAGGGCCGCCGAUGGCCGCGACCCGCAAGCUAAAGUAGCCUCAUGCGGCGAAUGAAACCACGAGGAAGUGGUUUUCGUCAUCCUUCCGCGCUGAGGAGCUCGACCAAUUGGUGGUGAAGAAGUGUACCCCGGCAGAUCUGGUCCACAGGAUGCUCGAGAAGGAAGCCCCACCAGCGUCAGCCGCCGAAGAGCACGUGCUUCAUCAGGAGUUCUUCGGAGAGAAGUGCGGUGAUUGAUAUGGUUAUUGUUGUUGCCAACACAUGAAGUGAUUAAGUUGAAGUCGCCGCCAAGUAGCCACGGACCAGCACACAACACCCUGCAUCCCAGAGGUCUACCAGGAACUGCAACUUGUCGUCGUUGCCUUGAGGGCCAUAAACCAUAGUCAACAACGAGUACAGGUUCACCAGAGACGAGAGCUGUAAUGUGGUGCAAGACAAUGAUGGGACUGGAGAUGGACACUGCUGAGCGCUGCCAGGCGAGAAUAAUGCCUUCCCAGGUGCCAAUCGUGGGUAGGAAGAAGAAGUCCUGAAAGCUUGGGCCAACGUCUUGAUCACCGUGGGCAGCACGACAAGGUUCAGUUUGAUCUCUUUGCGACAAAUCACAAUAGGAGAGGCAACGUAAAUAAUAGGACGAACGGUAGCGUGUUUGGUAGGGCAAUUAAAACCGCGAACAUUCCAACAAAUCACAUGAAGCACUCCAUAAAGACCAAGGAUGUGUCCAAUGGGGGAUGGGGGAGGGGGCACGACACUAAUCUACGAUAGUCCGAACAUUGGCAGUGGUGUGGUGCAGCCUGGAAAGCACGGUGUUAGGUAUGUCCAACCCGGAAAGUAAAUGGAUGAACCUACUUUGGAAAACUCAUUCUAAAUGCCAAAAAACUCUGAAAAAGUUUCACGCAUACAUCUUCACAUUCUAUGUGCACGCAUAAAGUUUCGCGGAAAAACAACUUUUCCUUUGACAUGUGCAAAAAAGACAAAAAAUGCAUCGUGGAACGCUUUUAGAAGCACUGAAGUUUGUCUUUUUCACAGAGGCAAAAUAAAAAGUGACUUUUUUCACAAAACUUUGUGCUGCAUACACAUGUGUGCGUAGAUGUAUGCAUUUGUUUUGUUUUUUUUUAACAUUUUAAAACGCGUUUAAAACGCAUUUUUGAAAGUGGGUUCAUAUGCCCAUGAGUUCAAGACUUUCCCACUCUAUCUCACCCAUAGUAAUCUGCAAACGCCUGGACAACGUCCUCCGCAAGGGGAUGUUCAAACAGCGUGGAGUACUUGGCCAGACUCUUAACAGUAAGCAGUUUGUCUUCUUGAAGAAUGACUGUCGUAGAAUACGCUUGGCCUUAGUAUCGGUAAAAGUAAUGCACCGGCUGCGUCUAGGCGUAGAAGGGGUAGCUAGCAAUGGCAAGGGUGCAAAUUUGCACGCCACGCGCAAACACAUGCAAAGCGGGGUCCACCACCGAAGCCGCAUGGGGGCCAUGCAGCAAUGUUUGGCUGGAAAAGAUGCAACCAAGACGUUGCUGGGGCCAGACAGUGUUUAGUUGGAAGAAACAGCUAAAACGUUGCUUGUGAGGUAUAGUAGUAGCAAAUAUUGUUUCUACACUAUAGUUGUGGAAUCAUUUUUUAAAAUAUAUAUCAACUGAAGUGAGGAUGGCAGGGUCACAGAUAUACAUGAAUAUGACGGCUUAUGCAAGUAUGGUUAUUGUACUACUAGUCUAUAGUUCAAACAAAAAUAACAUCUACUACUAGUGUCUCAGUUCAGUCCAAUUUGCAGAAAGGCAAAUGAUUCUAAAUUUGUAUGUGCACUAAAUAAAAUAAGGAAUUUUCACAUAUUUACAAGUUUCGGCACUAUGAUUAGGUGAUUACAACUUUUCUGUAACGAACCCUAAUUUUCUCUCUCUAAACAACUACUCCUGAAGGUUGAAGGAUAUACCUCCUGAACUAUCCUGCCAGUUUUUUUAAAAUAUUGUAAUUACAUAACUCAACCUUAUUUCCCGAACUAGAUGACCGUAACAAAGCUAAGAACAACCCAAACAUGGGAGGAGACGACCAAGACAAACGUCCACAUAAAAUCUAAAUCAUAAUAUGAAACGACCAUAACCUGUGACAGCCCAUUGCCAAGCAUCGGUUUUAAACUGACUGAUGACUCUUCACAAAGGCAAGUAUGUGUUGUUGAAAAACCCUCUUGUUCCUCUCUCACCAUAUGCUCCAGAUGAUUAGAGACACCAAGGAAUAUAAGCCUUUCUCUUUGUGCUAUGAGUUCUCGACCUGGCUUCCUGCCACCAUCAUGGGAAAGGAAGCCGAGGGAACGUUCUCGCUCAGAUUUGCCCAUUGCAGCACCGAGCUCCAACUGAUCGAAAUGAGCUGCCUCCUGUGUAGAGGUACAGAAACAAGAAGUAUCAUUAUGUGCUAAAUCCCUCUUGGCAGGAUGGUCUGCCGUCCAAACACGACAAUGAGCCAAAGAAAAAGUUUGCAUCUCAACGGUGCCCAGAAUUGCCUUAUGGUGCAAUCCGUACUGCAAUUGAUUGCCGCAGUGAAAUAAGCACUGUAUACUAACUUUGCCGAAAAAACUCCUUUAGGGUGGAUCCGGGGGAACCUGCUCCUCCUUUUGUAGAUGGGCCGACAUCAUGAGUUGGCAGAGUAGGUUCCAGAAGCCAAGUACAGAUGGCACACUAGAUAGGGGAUGUCAAAUUCGGUCACGUGUGCUCAAUUCGAACAAAAUUUGAUGGUCCAUUUGAUCAAGAGCGUCCAAUCUGAAAACAUGGUCAGACUGAAUGGCCUUUUUCGGUCACGUCCCGGCUUUGUUUCACAACCGUGCUUGGCCCAAAAAAAAUGGCAUUGGAUUAGAGUCCAAGAAAUUUUCCUAAUAUAAGAGAGGCAGGGUGAACUAGGCUUCAGAACACCUUAGCAUUUCUUGAGUCCCAAAAUUUCCAUAGAAUUGAGAGAGGCACGCCUCUGGCUAAAUGGAGUUUUUAAGGUUGCUUUUCCGAAGAAAGUAGGCGGCAGAAGAGUAAGUUGUUGGCAAAUCCGCAUGGCUUUCGGACAGUUGAGAGGUGAUUUGUGUUUUCGGAAGGAACAAAGUACCUUACACUGGCGGCGGUUACGAGAGGUGAUUGUCAAACAUAUUUGCGUUGAUUUAAUCUGUCCUCGAACAACAACCAAACAACAAAUAUUGACUAUAUUUGGAGCAUGACAACGCUAGAUGAGCUCAGCAUGAUCACACUCCACAUUUUUAUCCCAUAUGAGACCAUACAUACUAAUUUUAAAGAGACAAAAAAAUAUAGUGGAACGAUUCGCCAUUAAUAUGCAUUUAUCUAUUCAACAAAGCAAUGAUUUCGGCGCUCUGAAUGUUACUUCUACUGGUAAGGGAGGGAGGGUGAUCUAGGCUUCGGAAUGCCACAACAUUCCCUAUGUCCCAAAUUCAGAUAAUUGAGAGAAGCACCUCAGAGGAAAUGAAGUUUUUGAGCUUACUUGUGGGGUAGCAACAAUGCAUAAGCCCUGGAAGCAAGUAGGCGUGUUGCCAAAUCCGCAUGGGAUUCGGACGGUUGAUGAAGAGUUUAGGUGUCGUUCCUUAGGUGUCUUUCGAAGGAACGACGUACCUUGUAUGGGCGACGGAUCGGGAGAGGUGCUUGUCGAACAUAUUUGCCUUGGUUUAAUCUUUCCUCAAACAAUAACCAAGCAACAAAUAUUGACCAUAUUGAGCAUGGCAGUGCUAGAUGAGCUCGGCAUGAUUACACUCCACAUUUUCUAUUUCACGUGAGACCAUAUAUGCUAAUUUUUAAAGGGGCAAACAUAUAGCGACAAAAUCAACGACGUCGGUGCUCUACAUGUUAUUUUUUAAGCUUCAAAAUGUGAUAUCUCUCAAACCAUUUUCCAGGCAUCUCCAUGGUACGCUUUGUUUCGAUGAGAUCAUUGAAACUAGACCCUAUAUUGAGCUUCAACGUUUUUAUCUUUCACAUGUGUCAUAAUUUUUUUCUAUGAAGUUGGCUUAGUAGAAAAGUUACUAGGUGGCAAACAUGGAACGACAGCUUUAUGGAUGUUUUAGAAAAAAAAAUCUCCAUCUCUAUAUCUAUAGUUCUAUAUCUAUCUCUUCCUAUCUAAAAAAGAAAGGUUUUCCAUUCCGCUCCACACUUCUUCCAUCCUCCCUCGCAACUCUGUUUUUUUUUCUUUCUGUACCACAAGAAUGACCGGAGAAAAACCGUCGUGUGAAAGUCCCACGCAUGCACCUUUGGCUAAAUGAAGUUUUUGAGGUUGUUUUUGGCGUGGCAAUAACCCAUAAGCCUCGGAAGCAAGUAGGCGUGAGUUUCUGCAAAUUCACAUGGCUUUUGGACAAUUAAUGAGGUGAUUUUUGUCUUCGGAAGGAGCGGAGUACCUCUGAUAGGCGGCGGCUUGAGGUGCUUGUUGAACAUAUUUGUCUUGGUUUAAUCUUUCCUCAAAUAGUAACCUAGAAAAAAAAUAUUGACCAUAUUUGGAGCAUGACAACCCUAGAUGAGCUCAACAUGAUCACACUCCACAUUUUUAUCCAUGUGAGACCAUACAUGCUAAUUUUAAAGGGGUAAAAAAUAUAGUGGAAGUUUCGCCCAUGCAUCUAAGGGUGAUAAAAGCAAUGACGUCGGCGCCCUAAAUGUUAUUUGAAACUUCGAAAUGAUAUCUCUCUCAAAGAGUUAUUCGGAUUUACGAUCUAUCUCCAUGGCCAGUUGUUUGGCCGAGAUCAUCAAAACUAGACCCUAUGUUGUUAAGUUUUGGCAUUUUUCCUUUCUUCCAAAAGGGUGUCGUCAAAUUUUUCUAUGAAGUUGCCUUAGUACAAAGGGAAAAUAUCUGGUGCUACGGGAGCACCUAAGAUGAUGAAUAUUUUUGCAAAAAAGCCCUCCAGGACCCCAAAAAAUGCACACAAGUACAACAGCUCCUUAGAUGCCGUUGGAUUUGAGAUCCGACAUCCCGGAAGCCCGUAUCACGGGUGCACCUAUGAGCCUGUAUCACAUGAUUCUCUCUCUUAGUACCAAAGUUACCAGGUGGCAACUUUGAUAGCAAUACAACAAGAAGUUCAUUAAACAUGGGUUGACAACUUUAUGGAUGGUUUUCUUUUUUCAAAAUAUACACAUCCCCUAAAUCACUAAGCUCCAUGGGGUACAAUCUUCCAGGAGCGAUCGAAGCAUUCAAUUUGGCUGGUGGCCUCAGUUUUCACCGGGGCAGGUUGAGUGGGCUUUGGUCGGCGUGUGGGAGUGUGGGCCUAGGCGUUGUGGCUAUUGGGAGGCGUUUGUUUGGGUAUGUGUCGCACGGUUGCCUCCUCCCUCUUGCACACUCUGCUUGCCUCAAUCGUGAGAGACGACACGAUCUGCAGACCCUAGCGCCAUCGGACCCCUGUCCGCGUGCUGCACACCUUCCCCAGCAGCAGCCGCUCACCGUGCAUCGCAUUCUUGUUCCUUUCGGCGCGCCGCCAGCUCCCAGGCCAACACCAGUCUGUUCUUCAUCGUUGUUGUCUCUCCCCAUCUGGGUACUGGAGUUGACCAACUUUGAUGAUGCAUAAUCUAGUCAGUACCAUUGGUAGGGUGGUGAACGUGGCUGGAUGUACCAGAUCGGAGGUAGCAUAGGGGUUUUACCCUGAUUCGGGCCUCCAUUAAGGAGUAACACCCUACGUCAUGCUUUGAGUUAUUAUUCAUGGUAGGUGUACCUGGGGCGAGGGAUUAUAGUGAGGGAGAUGAGAUUGUUACCGAGAGUCUAGUCUACGGGAAUAUAUGGGAAUGAGAGCCCUGUAGCCCUCUCCUUAUAUGCAAGUUGAGGGCUAUAUAUAGUUUCAAAAGAGGGAGAUCCAAUCACGGCUACUACCAUGCUGGCUUGGGGGAUAAGAUGAUCCUCAAACGCCUACCCAUUCCUUCGGGCACCUUGCUAUUGCUAGCUGCGUGGCUCGCCUCCUAGGUCCCUUGGCAGGUCUGCUGCCAGGCUCCCUGCGAAGAAUCCACCCUCGGUGCAUCGCACCGUCGGUAGCCCUGGAGCUUGUCUGGGGUUAGAUUUCUUCGGUCUUCGAGAACCCAGGGGAACUCCUCGUCUGGAUGUCAGGAUUUCUUCCUGGGAGCUCGACCUUGAAGACAUAUGCGAGUUUGCUCACUGCAAGGGCUCCGGGAACGCCUUCCGUUGCGGGCUCGGCUACAAUGCAGAGCUCCAUGGAGGCCGAGGCUACGCGGUCUAAGCUCUGACUUCAGGUCUCUAGUGGCUGAAUCAUCACAGCCAGACCCCACCCGGUCUUGUCAAAAUAGGCUCGUGGACCCUUGAGGGAACCCAUUCGUCGUGUGAUGUCAUGAUGAUAAUGCCUGAAUUCGCACGCCCACAUCUCACGAAAAGGGAAACCAUGGAGGACGUGGGGCACGUGUCAUGCCAUGAGGCCCGCCCAUUCAGUUUUAUAGCGGCGGCUAUAAAGAGGGAGCGAUAAGGUAAUUUCUCCUUCAUCUUCAUCCUCAUGCAUUCGCCUACUUGCAUCCUCUGCCAUUACCACACAUCUACAACUCACACAACCUUCCGCCUUAAUCAUCCGCGUCCGUCGAGAUGGCCAAAUCCAAGGGUGGCCAGGGACGGACUUGCACAAUACGCUGCUCUGGCGACCGGUUGCAAAGCAAAAACAGAAGAGGGUUGCCGACGAUCGCGGGCCGAAGCAGUCAGACGAUAAACAAAACCAUGGGGAAGUGAUUCACGUCGGCUGUCCGCGCUGAGGAGCUCGACCAGCUGGUAGUGGAGAAGUUUAUGUGGGCAAAUCUGGUUCACAGGUUGCCCGGGAAGGAAGCCCCACCAUCGCCGGUCGGCUAAGAUCACGUGCUCCAUCAUGAGCCGGCCAGAGGUGCGACGGUUGAGACAGUUAUUGUUCUUGUUAGCACAUGAAGUGAUUAAGUUGACGUCACCGCCAAGCAGCCACAUAACAGCACACAACACCCUGACAUCCUGAGGGUCUGCCAGGAACUGCAACUUGUCAUCUUUGCCUUGAGGGCCAUAAACCCCAGUUAACCAUGAGUGCGCCUUCCAGUCGACGAUAGAGACAAGAGCCGUAAUGUGGUGGAAGCCAAUGGUGGGAUUGGAGAUAGACACCGCCGAGCGCUGCCAGGCGAGAAGAAUGCCUUCCCGGGUGCCAAUCGUGGGGAGGAAGAAGUCCUAGCUCGGGCCCAACGUCUCGAUCCCUGUGAGCAGCACAAUGAGGUCCAGUCUGGUCUCCUUGAGACAAAUCACAGUAGGAGAGGUAGCAGAUAUAACAAAAUGAACAACAACGUGUUUGGCAAGACAAUUAAGACCACGAACAUUUUAGAAAAUCGCACAAAGACCAAGGAUGGGUCCAAUGGGGGAUGGGGGAGGGGGCAGCCUGGAAAGCACGGUGCUAGGCAUGUCCCACCCGAAAAGUACAUGUAUUAACCCACUUUGGAAACCUCAUUACUAAAUGCCAAAAAAAUUUAAAAAAGUUUCACGCAAACAUCUACACAUUCUAUGUGCGCACAGAAAGUUUCACGGGAAAACUACUUUUUCUUUGGCUUAUGCAAAAAAGGAAGCUGACAGGGGUUGGGUGCAACCUGGAAAGCACGGUGUUAGGCAUGCCCCACCCUGAAACUAAAUGGAUUAACCCACUUUGAAAAACUCAUUACUACAUGCCAAAAAAUUCUGGAAAAUGUUCACGCAUACAUGUUCACAUUUUAUGUGCGCGCAGAAAGUUUCACGGGAAAACAAGUUUUCUUGGGCAUGUGCAAAGACAAAAAUGCAUCAUAGAAAGGUAUUCAACAACACUGAAAUUUCUCUUUUUCGCAGAGGCAAAAUAAGAAGAGAUUUUUCACAAAAAAUUGUGCCGUGUACACAUGCACGCGAAGAUGUAUGUAUUUAAUUUGUUUUGAAAUUUUUGACAUUUUAAAACGCGUUUAAAAUGCUUUUUUGAAAAAUGGGUUCAUAUGCCGACGGGUUCAGGAUGUUCCCACUCUAUCUCCCCGUAGUAAUCGCGAACGCCUGGACGACGUCCUCCGCAAGGGGCUGUUCAAACAGCUUGGAGUACUUGGCCAGACUCUCAGCAGUAAGCGGCUCGUCUUCUUGUAGAAUGGCAAGGUGGCGUAGGAGAACACACUUGGCCUUGGUAUCGGCAAAGGCACUGCACCGGGUGCGUCUUGGCGUGGACGAGGGUAGCUAGCAGCAGAAUCGGUGCCAAUUGCACACCAUGCACAAACGCAUGCAAAAGCGGGGUCCGCCCCCAAAACCGCACGGGGUUGUGGAACAUGCACAGCAGAGCGAGACAGUGUUUCAUUGGAAAAGACGCAGCCAAACAUUGCUGGGCCAGACAGUGUAUGGCUGGAAGGCGCAGCCAAAACGUUGCUUGGAACGUAGCACAAUAUUCAUUUGCGAAAGUUUUCAAGAAAUAUAUCAUUUGAUGUCAGGAUGGCAAGUCACAUAUCCAUGAAUAUUACGGUUUCUACAAGUAUGGUUAUUAUACUCAACAAGUUAUUUGAAAUGCAAACUCGUUUGUCGGCCUCGGCCAUGGCCCCAUGAUCUACUGCUAUUGGAAGGGGAAACUAGCUACUGGGCAAAUGCAAGUGCUACAAGAUCUACUUGACAAGGCUAAGCUUUGUAGGUUUUUUUUUUUUGAAACGAGCUAAGCUCUGGAGUGAAAUGACUAGCACAAACUUAGCCCCCUGGAUCAUGAACAUAGGCUUAUAAACUGAAACUGGCAUAUCCUUGCAAUGAUUACCCAAAAUUCCAGUCAGUAGCAUUGACAUCUACUACUAGGCUAGUUCAAACAAAAAUAACAUCUACUACUAGUGUCUCAGUUCAGUCCAAUUUACAGAAGGGCAAAUGAUUCUAAAUUUGUAUGUGCACUGAACAAAAUAAGGGAGUACCAAUUUUCACAUCUAUAUACAUGUUUCGGCACUAUGAUUAGGCGAUUACAACUUUUCUGUAACCAACCCUGUUUUUUUCUCUAAACAACUACUCGUGAAGGUUGAAUGAUAUAGACUGAUCGAUGACUCUUCGCAAUGGCAAGUAUGUGUUGUUGAAAGCCCUCUUGUUCCCCGCAAAAAAAAACCCUAUUGUUCGCCUCUCUAGCCAUAUGCUCUAGACUAGAGACACCAAGGAACUUAAAGCCUUACUCUUUGUGCCAUGAGACACCAAGGAACUUAAAGCCUUACUCUUUGUGCCAUGAGUUAUAGACUUGGCCACCUACCAGGCUACCACCAUCAUGGAUUGGAAGGGAAGUCGAGGGAAUGAUUUCACUUAGAUUUGCCCAUUGCAGCACUGAGAGCUCUAAAUGAUCGAAAUGAGCCACUUCCUAUGUAGAGACUUCAUCUCCCUGAAAACAAUAAGUAUCAUUAUGUACGUGCGAAAUCCCUCUUGGCAAACACGACGACGAGCCAAAGAAAAAGUUUGCAUUUCAACGGCGCUUAGGAUUGUCUUCUGUGCAAUCCGUACUUCAAUUGAUAGCCGCAGUGAAAUAAGCACUAUAUACUAACUUUACCUAAAAACUCCUUUUGAAUCCCAAUUCCAGGUCCACUUAUCUUCAACGCCAUGGAUCGUCGGGGUUUAAGAAAUAGUUUCCAGAAGGUAACCACCUGCAGGAAAGGGUGAAUGUUGAUCUCACCAUUGAUAUCUUUGAUCCAAGCUUCAUUAGAAGUCGCUUCAGCAACAGUCCCCGCGCGACCUGACGACCGGAUAUACUAAUUAUUUGUUGGUUUAAAAUCUGUUAGGUAAGUCACAGAUGCAUGAGCAUUACAGCUUAUAUAUACUAAUAUGGUGCUUAUGUCCAGCAAAGUCAUCCGAAGCUUAGCUUCCAAUUAUUCAGAUGUGAAGACAUCUUUAGCUUGAUUGCUGUGACUGAAACUGAAAACCGUUACUCCUAAAUACUAGUAAAACUGAAACUGUAGUGGUAUUCAAACUGAUAUCUCUCUCUCCAACCAUUUUGAAACUGAAACUGGAGUAGUAACCAUUACUCCUAAAUAUACUACUCCAAUUCCAAUUAUUCGAAAACAAAGCGGACCAUAAAGACAGAUAAUAAAAUCUAAACUUAUACUCCCUCCGUUCCUAAAUAUAAGUCUUUGGAGAGAUUCUACUAUGAACCACAUACGGAUGUAUGCAGAUGCAUUUUAGAGUGUUGAUUCAUCCAUUUUGCUUUGUAUGUAGUCCAUAAUGAAAUCUCUACAAAGACUUAUAUUUAGGAACGGAGGGAGUACACAUGGGAAGACAUCAGACCAAGACUCACGUCCACAUAAAACAUAAAUCAUAAAAUGAAAUGGCGAUAAAACCUCCGAACUAUUCUGGCAGAUGCUGCGAGGGAGGCUGACUACAUUGUACUUCGAACGAAACAGACCAACCAAUCUACCUCAACUAGAUCGAGCGCACAAUCCACAACUGAAAUGAAACGAAGUAGAGACACAACAACUCUGAAGAAAUCAACAUGCAGAUGCAUAAUUCUACCGCCGCCUCCUCUUCAACACCAUGGAGCGCUCGGAACCCUCCUCCUCCUCGCUGGAGCUGCUGUCGGCAGGCGGGGGGAGCACCGGCUUCCGGUAGACCUUGUGGACCACGAAGACGACGUCCGACGCCUCGGGGUCAGGAUGCGCGCGGCGGAAGGCGGCCGCGUCCCUGUUGAGCCGGUACUCCUUCAUCAGCCAGCGCGUCGGCGAGCAUACCGCCCCGCCCUUCCACGUGUAGCGGUACGCGAACCUGCGCCUGAACGCCACUGCCUCCCGGCCGCCCUCGCCGCCGUAGUACGGCUUCUCCGUGCCAUACUACACCCAGCACCCGCCCGCGCCCGGCGUCGGGCACCUCUCGCCGGCGGGCUUUGCCGCGAAGAAGAAGCCCCAUACCUCGCCGUAAUCCCUUAUGUGGUUUUGCCGGAAGAGGAGCUCACGCGGGGGCAAGGACAAGACAUCCACACCCUCCUCGAUGAAGCCGGGGAAGAAGUCACCGCCGAGCCCCGCCCUGGGGACGAGGUAGUGGUCGAUGAGCUCACGGCCGGUGGGUUGGAACACGCAGCCGGCUGUCAGAUUAGGGUUCGCCAUCGCCGACCGAUACCGAAGUUGUAGCCUAGAGAGGUAGAUGCUGUGGGCGACUCAAAAUGUUCAGUGGAUCUGAGAGAGAGAGAGAGAGUUCGAUUAUGCCCUGGGAUAACUCAGAUUGGGAGGACCUGCUCCUGCUUUUGUAGAUGUGUUGGCAUUAAUGACAGGAAGGUUCCAGAAGCCAAGUACAGAUGGCACAGUAGAUAGAGGGUGUCUAAUUCGGUGGAAAAUAUUUUGUAGAGCAUAGGCUUUGGGACACCCCCUUAUCUAGCCACUCAUUUUUGCAUCGCGAUUCGUGCGAAUACAUUUGUCUUUUUUGUUUCUCCCAUAUAGAACAACAUAUGAACUUCAAACUUGGCAGCUCAACAAAACAUUCUUACUAGAAUGUGGGAAAAAAACUUUCAGAAUUUUUCGUGCAAUAUAAAUACUAAAAAGUACAUUUUUUAAUACAAAAAAACUAAUUUCGUAUAUUUAUGUUUGACAAAAAAAUCUGAAAGUUUUUUCUCACAUUCUAGUUAGAACAUUUUGGUGUCUUGCAAAGUUUGAAGUUCAUAUGUUGUUUUAUUUUGAAGAAACAAAAAAGAGAAAAUCUAAUGUACAAAGUUAGUUGUCUAGUACGGAUCUCAAAGCAAUGUUGCAGGGUAAGGAUAAGAGGUGUCCAGAAACCUGAGCUCUAAAAAUCCGCGUCCCUAAUUCGGUCGGUGAUAACAUGUGCUCAAUUAGAACAAAAUUUGAUGGGCCAAUUGAUUAGGAUUGUGCAAUCGGAUUUGUUGCACAACCGUGCUUGGCCCAAACAAAUGGCAACAGAUUAGAGUCUACAAAUAUUCCUAAUAUAAAGAGGGAUGGUGAUUUAGGCUUCGGAACACCUGAGCAUGUUUUAGUCCCGAAAUUUCAAGAGAAACGAGUCUCACAAUUUGUAGAGAAGUGAGGGAGGCACAUGUGGUUAAGUGAAGUUUUUUAGGUCGAUGAUGACGUAGCAACUACCCCCCUCCCCCCUCCCACGCCUUUGCACGCGGAAGCAUGCUGGCGACAGAACAGUGAGGUAUUGGGAAAUCCGCAUGGCUUUCGGACAAUUGAUGAAAGGUGAUUUGUUUCUUCAGACGGAACGGAGUACCUUGUACGGGCGGCGGCUUGAGUUAGUUGUUGAGAAAUCCCCAUUACUUUCGGACACAAGGUGCCUUGAUUUAAUCUUUCCUGGAACAAUGACCAAGCAACAAAAUAUUGACCAUAUUUGGAGCAUGACAGCGUCAAAUGAGCUCGGCAUGAUCACACUUCAUAUUUUUAUCCCAUGUGAGACCAUACAUGCUAAUUUUAAAGGGACACAAAAUAUAGAAGAACGAUUCUCCAACAAUAUGCAUGCGUCUAUUGGCGGCAAAAUCAAUGACGUCAACGCUCUAAAUGUUACUUUUGAAACUUCAAAAUAAAAUCUCUCUCAGACCAUUACUCAGAUUUAUGUUCUAUCUUCAUGAUCCGCUUUGUUUCGACGAGAUCAUUUUAAUUAGACUAUAUGUUGAUAAGUAUUGACGGUUUUUUUUCCUGAAUGGUGUCGCCAAUUUUUUAUAUGAAGUUGCCUUAGUACCAAAGUUACCAGCCAGUAACUUUGAUACGAAUACAACAAGUUCGUUAAAGAUGGAUUGACAACUUUAUGGAUGUUGAAACUCCCAGGCGCGAUCUAGUCGAUAGAUUUGCUCGACUGUCCCCGAUUUUGACCGAGUGACGCGUAGGCUGGGCUGGUGGCUGGUGGGCCUUGGUCAACAUUUGGGAGUAUGGACCUGGGCUGCCCGUGAGGGGAAUUUCGAUCGGAUGUCCUCGAUUUAGUACAAAAUUUGUUUGUAAUUUCAAAAAUAAUCAAAAUAAUUCAAAUUUCUUCAGAAUUUAAAAUGUGUUCCUAUUUUCAAAAUAUGUGUUUUCAAAAAAAUGUCCAUAUUUCAAAAAGUAUUGAUUUUUUCACAGAAAAAAUAUGUUCAAAUUUUUCAAAAAACCUUCAAAUCUAUGGAUGUUUGUAGUUCUUAAGACUCCGCGCUACUCAUUAGUAACGAAAUUUUGCUCGAUCCAGUCACUGGCUAGGCUCGUGCACGUGAGAGCUGGAGGUCAUGUGUUUGACCAAUAGCGAGCACAAUAAUUUAUGGAAUUUUGCAUAACGCUUCCACUUUUGGACCAGCCCAACUCUACGCGUUCGUAGGGCUGCUAUUCGCCGUGAAAUGUUGCAGAUAUGAGUUCACAUGGGGGAGGCAGUUCUUGAGGAGGUCCUAUUUUGUGCGAUGCAUGCUGGGAGGAGGGGCAACGCGCACCCGCAUCUCUUACCCAAUGUGCCCUUUCGGGCUGUCAUAUCUACAUGGUACCCUUUUUUCAUUUUUUUUCUUUUUCUUUUUUCUUUUCCAAUUUGGUGCUAUUUUUCUGAUUUAAAUAAUUCGGGAUUUCAUAAAAGUUCUGAAAUUCUAAAAAUCAAGAAUUUGGAAAAAUAAUUAUAAAAUCAUUAAAAAUUCCCUGAUUCAAGAAAAUGUUUGUGAUUAAAACAAAUGUUUGCAUAUUCAAUAAAUAUUCAUGAACUUUAAAAAUGUUCUAGAAAUAAAAAAGGUCAUGAUUUUAAAGAAAUAUUUUUCGAUUCAAAAAAUGUUCACAAAUUCAAAAAUUGGACCUGAAUUUUUGAACAUUCACAAAAUUCAAAAAAUAAUUGUGAAUUGCAAACAAACUUCGAUUCCAAAAUGUUCACCGAUUCAAAAAAACAUGUAUUAGAAAAAUAAUCAUGCAUUUCGAAAAUGUUCAUCAAAACAAAAAAAAAA